GAAGAAAGUAGAUAAGGGCACACGGGGGAUGCCUAGGCUCCCAGAGGCGAAGAAGGACGCGACAAGCUGCGAUAAGCCGCGGGGAUCGGCACAUACGAAUUGAUCCGCGGAUUUCCGAAUGGGGCAACCCGGCAUGCUGAAGGCAUGCCAUACCGCAUAGCGGUAGGCGAACGCGCUGAACUGAAACAUCUAAGUAGGCGUAGGAGGAGAAAACAAGAGUGAUUCCGCAAGUAGUGGC
rnacentral:rRNA from 1 species